GCUGAGGCUGACAAGGUCCAAGGAGGACCUGAGGGACUUCCUCUCAGGGCAACAAGCCUUAAAGAUCAAGGAAAGGAAGGAAUGAAGAGUGGAAUAGAAGAAGGCAGUACCAGGGCAGGAAGCAGAGAGACAGAAAGCCGUGCAGGGAAUACUGAAGCUACAAAUCUCGAGGCUCAGAAACCCAAGUUACUGCAGCGGCUGCCUUGGACUUCUCCAGUCAGGGUAAUUGUCUUGGAUCAGAGCAGCCCUUCUAAGUGAUUGAAGUAAACAGCUAAAUAAAAGCCAGCAUGUUUUUUUCUUAUCUUCCCCA
rnacentral:lncRNA from 1 species